rnacentral:lncRNA from 1 species
GUGCCUGUGGCAUGUGGAAGUUCCUUUGCCAGGGAUCAAACCCUCACCCCAGCAGUGACCCAAGCUGCUGCACUGUCUUCUUACUUCUUUUGUCUUAGAUUAAUUGAUCAAUAAGGGCAAGUGUUUAUUUCUGGGCUUUCUGUCUUGUUCCAUUGGUCUAUGUGUCUGUUUUUGUGCCAGUACCAUUCUGUUUUGAUUAUUGUAGCUUUGUAGCCAGGGAGUGUAAUUCCUCCAGCUCUGUUCUUUUUUGCUUAAAAAUUUUUUUUUUUUUUUGCUAUUAAGUGUCUUUUGUUUUACAAUACAAAUUUUAAAAUUUGUUCUAGUUCUGUGAAAAAUGCCGUUGGUAUUUUGAUAAGGAUUGCAUUGAAUCUGUAGAUUGCUUUGGGUAGUAUGGUCAUUUUCUGAUAUUUAUUCUCCCAAUCCAUGAACAUGGUGUGUUUUUCUAUCUUUUACAGUAUGUAUAUAAAACUUUUUCAGGGAAAGAUUGGGAAAUGGGUAAAUUUUUUUGCUCCUUUUGCACUGCGCCCUAAGGGGAUAGCCAGCUAGAAAUUGCUCCUUUGUUUUCUAUAGUCCUAUGGAACUUGUUAGUGGAACCCCCUUUAGCUAUAAGACUGAUGGUCUGGAGACCCAUUUCUCGGGGAGCAGCUAUAAAAUCUGGGGUGUAGGCAUGUGUACUAGCUCCUUCCAGGGAGAUACUAGGAAUUUAGAGUCAUCUUGAGUGGGAAGGAAUGUUGUCCACUUCCCCAUUUUCUGGGGAGGAUCAUGGUUAGUCCCUAAUGCCUGUUAAAUUAGAAGACUGGACUUCAGGCAGCAGCUUAAUUUUAAAGUACACAGAUACUCUUUCAGGGGAAAACUAUGAGGUGGACACUUUUGCCUUUUUCCUCUGUGCAGAUUGCUGGGAUGAUAGCUGUGGUGAGUGCUUGCAUGCUUGUUAAGAAUUGGUUCUAUGCUAUAUACUUAUGAGGCUUGUGGACACAAGCUCCAUUGGUUUUUAGAGCAAGUGGUUUUUGUGAGCCUGUCUCUGGUGAAUCUUAUAAGUUUGAGUGCUAGAUAUGGAGUCCAAGCCCUUUGGUUUUCAGGGAGAAGCUAGAAGUCAGGGCUUCUCUCCUAAUUGUCGGGCACUGUGCUGAGAGGAGGGUUUAUGGCAAGAGUAUGGAAGGAACAGUUUUUCCUACCUGUUUUGAUGUGGGUAUUUUCUCAUUUGUCUGGCAUGUAGGAGUUGCUCAGCUAGUUGCUGGGUGUUGCUCCAUGUGUAAUUGUCCAUUUGAUGUGUCAGUAUGAGGAGGGAAGCUCAGGAGCUUCCUUUGUCACGAUCUUGUUGCCUCCCAGUUCCUAAGUUUUGAAUCCUUGCUUUUCCAUCAAAAUUUUUAUCUUUGCUCUAACGUGUUUUUGAAAUUUGAGAUGUUUUCUUUAAUAACAAUUUAGUCUUUUGAUUUUCUGGCCUUGUGUAUGGUAACCUGUAUUAAUGACAGUAAAAAAAUAUUUUUUCUUCCAUUAUGUCUUAUUGAGAUGUAGACAUGUUAUUGUAGAGUUAUAUUUCUUUUUCUUUAGUCUUUUUUUUUUUUGGUUGCUCCAUGGCAUAUGCAAUUAUCAGGCCAUGGAUCAGAUCCAAGCCACAGUUGCCUGAGCUGCAACUGCAGCAACACUGGAUCCUUAACCCAUGGUGCUGGGCUGAGGAUUGAACCCUCAUCCCAACACUCCCAAGAUGCUGCCAAUACUAUUAACUUCCCUAAGUUAAGAUCAUACAACUAUGAAAAAUCAGAGAAAUUUUUAUUAGCUAUAGAAAUUUCAUUUGCUGUACAAAUAGGUAAGUCUUUCACUGUUUUCCUUUCAUUCUUUAAAGACAUUUUAUUGUAUUGAUUUCUAAUUUUCAUUAUGAUCAGUUAAUAUAUUCUAUAUCAUUUGAAUGAUUUUAAAGAUUUUAAUAUUGUUUUUUGGCCUAGUAUAUAGUUCAUCUUGGUGAAUAUGCCCUAGACAUGAAUUGAUUCUGAUAUUUGCUGUAGUGUUUUACUUCUAUGACUAAUACUUUGGUUUUUUUCUAUAAAUUACUGAAAGAGCUAUGACUGUAGAUUUAUUUACUACUCCUUUUAUUUCUUCCAGUUUCAUUUCAUUCAAGUUGAAACUUUGUUAUUAGUCAUAUAAACUCUCAUGAUUGUUAUACUUUCCUUGUAAAUUGACUCUAUUAAGAAAUAUCUCUAUCUCUGGUAAUAAUUGAUUUGAAGUUUAUUUUUUCUGAAAUUAAUAUAACAACUCUAGCUUUCUUACGCCUUCUGUUUGUAGAGUGUAUCUUUCCCUCUUUUUAUUUCUUCCUACCUGUAUCUUUAUGUAUAACGUUUUGUAAUUUUAGAUAGCAUGUAGUUGGGAUAUGUUUUAGCCAUUAACGAUUGAGUGUUUAUUCAAUGACUAAUAUAAUCAUUAAAAAGGUGGAUUUAAGUCCACCAGUUUUGUCAUUUGUUGCUUUGUGUGUACUCCCUUUUAGUAUGUGUCUUUUGUUUCUUAUUAUUCUGUCCCUUCUUCCCUACCUUUUGACUUUUUUUCAGAAUUUUCUUUUCCUAUUCCUUUUUAACUCUACCUUUAUGCAAUUUUGCUGGUUUUCCUAGUGAUUACAAUAUACAUAUUUAGUUAUUUCAGUCUUUUAAAGACUAUUAAAUCUCUUCACAUAAAAAGAAGAAUCUUGCAAUAAUAUGUACCUAAUUGCCUAGUCUCCGGCCCCUCUUAUUCUAUAGUCGUCAUAUAUAUCUAUAUCUACUAUAAACCCUAUAGCCAAUGCCAUAAUUGUUUUAAACAGGUAUAUUUAUAUUAAAUAGUUUAAGAGGGGAAAAUACUUCAUAACUACCUAGGUAUUAACCAGUUUUAAUUCUUUUUACUCUAUCCUGAACAUCUGUGUUUCCUUCUGUUAUCAUUAUCUGUCUUCCCAAAGAAUUUUCCUUCAUGCCAAGUUGACUGGUGAUAAGUUCUUUGUUUUCUUUUAUCUGACUCUGUCCUUUUAGUCCUUUUUAUUGAUUGAUAUAGUUACUCUCUGUAGAAUUAUGAUUGGGUUUUCUCCAUUAUUACUUUAAAGAUAAUUUUCCACAGUGUUCUGGACUUUGUUGAAAUAAAAUCCAUUCUUUAGGUAGUUAAUAUAGAAAGUAGUUGAAGCAAAAGUUUUAGCUAGCAAAGUGUGAUAUGAUAGGUACUUUAACAGAGAGUAGUUAUGAAGAGUUCUUAACUAAACAAUUUGUUUUAUGAUUUUCUCUGUGUCUCCCGAUAGCUUUGAACAAAUGAGCUCCUUUUGACUGGGACUUGGUUUUGUUCAUAUUCUUGACUUACUCAGAAAGUCAUAUAUCAUACAUUUAAAAAUAAUCAUUCUAUACUUUUUAAAAUUUUUUUUUAAAUUAAAAUUUUUUUUGUCUUUUGUCUUUUUAGGGCCGCACCCAUGGCACGUGGAGGUUCCCAGGCUAGAGGUCUAAUCAGAACUAUAGGCCACAGCCACGACAACGCCAGAUCUGAGCGUUUGUGACCUACACCACAGCUCAAGGCAAUGUUGGAUCCUUAACUCACAGAGUGAGGCCAAGGAUUGAACCCACAACCUCAUGGUUCCUAGUCUGAUUCAUUUACACUGUGCCAUGAUGGGAACUUCUUAUCAUUCCAUACUUUUAAAUGGAUAGUUUCUCUUUCAUGGUAUUUACAAUAAAAUAAUAAGUUAGAAAAUGGAUGGUUUUGUUAGAAAAAGCAAAGUAAAAAAAGAUUGGAGUGAGUUGAUAUUAGAAAUAUGUCAUUUAAUUAAUUGUUACCAUUUGUUCAUAGAUAUUUGUACUAUUUUGUUAAUUGUGCAGUGUUGCAAACAUUUGCUAUGAGUUCUUUUAAUACUGAAUUGAUCCAUCUCUUGACGUAACAUUUUUUUAUUGAAGAUGACAUUGGGAUAUGGUUAUCUUACAACCUCUGAUUUUGGCGAAGAUGAAAUUAACCUUUCAAUUGUAUUUGAUGUGCAAAUUUUUUCACUUUGACAUUCCUACAUGUCAACUGUUUAUCUACCGUUCUAUCUUCUGUAAUCUAUCUAUCUCUACCUAUCAUCUGCCUAACUUAUUAAUAGAUACAUUAUCAUUUAGUCACCCAUCUUGUCACCUAUAGUUUGUAUAUCAUCUAGCUAGCUGUCUAAUCUCCAUCUAUCCAUACAUCCGUCCUGCUAUUAAGUAUGCUAAGUUGAAGAGUACGACAAUGGAGAAUCAAAGGAGUUACCCCCAUAUAAAAUGAUAGUGAUGACAGUGGUCUCUGAGGUGAUGAUAUAUAAAGUGACAGCAAGAAUAGAACAUAAUAACAGGGAUAUUAACUCAGGAACAUGUCUAUCAGGAACUCUGGACUUGCUACCAUGAUCAAAUUUGAAACCUCAAAAUAGAGCUGCCUCCAUUCUGUCUCAGCUUCUAAAAUUUAGUCUCUGUGACUGUCUUUUCAGUACAGCCUCCAUAUUUUAAAACUCAGUAUUAAUUGCAUGGAAUUAUCAGCUCAGUCUAUGCUAAACUAGACCAUGGAUUGGUAAACCUUUUCUGUAAAGGGCCAAAUAACAAUUUGUUUUCCAAUAAAACAAUUUCAGUGUUCCAAUAAAACUUUAUUUAUAACAGCAGGCUGUGGGCUUGAGUACCACAUCCUGAACAAGAUAAGUGGUUAAACCAGAACCUGGAAAAUAAUCACAUUAGCCCCACCAUUGUAAAAAAUAUUUAAAAAUUAUCUCCCCAUUUUAUUUUCAUGAAAAUUAUUUUUAGCUCCUCUGUAAAUCUUAUUUAUAAGAGAGUGCUGUCAAUGAAUACUACAUGUCAACAUAAACAAUGUAAAGCCAGUAUUGUAUAAGUGACUGGGGAGAUAUGAACCCCUUUCCAGUUAUAACCAAUAAACUAUAUUUUAAAUUGAGCAUACUUCUCCCAUAUUCCAUUUGUCCAUUGUGUCCAAACUCAUUCCUGCCUUCUUUCCCCCUUCAAUACACUUCAAGUCAAAAUGUCUCUCCACGUCUUUGGUGUUAUCCAGUCUCCUUAGCCAUUGACUUCAGUCUAUUUUGACUUCAUAUGAUCCUUUUUUGGUAAUUGUUUCAACCUCUCAGAAUAGGAUUUGUAUAUUCCAAGGCUAUUAUUUAACCUAGUUUGUAAAAAUGUGGAAGAUUCAACAGUAUACCUAAUUAAUGAAUACUAUCUUUAAUUCAAUUAAAAUUUGUCUUCCAAGUUUUCUCCAUCUUAUAUGCAUUGAAGAGUUAGAGGAGCGAAAAAUAGUAGCUAAAACCCAUUAACUUAAAAUUGAAUUUGGGUUAUUGAUUACUUUGCAAUGAACUGAGAAUUUACCUGUAUUGUUACUUGAAACUUACAUGACCAUUUUAGUGUUACUAUUUCUAUGAAAGCCUGACCCAAAUCAAUUAGAAAAAGGCAAUCAUUCCACUACAAAAGUGGAAAGUACAUAAAUGAGAAAUUCAUAAAAGGAUUGUGAAUGGCCAAGAACACAUAAAAAGUAUACUCAAACCUAUCAAUCUUCGUAAUUAAACAAAAAUGUAUUAAAUCAUCAAUUUUUAUAAAUAUAUACAUUAAAUAUAUGUGUGUGUUUAAAAACACAGACACAAACACACAAAAUAGAUUAACAAUUACCUUUUUCACCUAUUAGAUUAAUAGGUACGUUUGUUAACAAAGUGUGGGUAAUUUCAGACUCCUUCUGGAUUAAAAUCUUUCCAACACAUGGUAAAAAAUAUGUAUUAGACGGAAAUCAGCACAUUUUGACUAACGUUUUUUCUUAGAAAUUUACCUAUAGGAUGUAAUUGGAGUUUUCAAACCUGUAUGUAAACUCUAGGAUAUUCAUUACAGCCAUAGUUAUACUUGUCAAAUUAUAUGUAAUCUUUUUAUGAAGUCCUAAUGCUAGGGAAAUUAGUGGUGAUACAUUUAUACAGUUGAAUUUUUUCAGUUAUAUGUGGUAAUGUAUGUUGAAAUUAAUUGAUAUGAAAAUCUGUCUUUCAAAAGUUCAUUUUUCUGUCAGUUAUUGAGUAUCAACUAUGUUUGAGGCAUUAAUAUUGUAUUUAAUUCACAUAAAAUGAUAUAUAUGCUUGUUUGGUUAUGGUCAAUAAACCAAUUUUAUAG